CACUAAGAGAGGAGCUCGCGUCCUAUCAGCUAGUUGGUAGGGUAAUGGCCUACCAAGGCGAAGACGGGUAGCUGGUCUGAGAGGAUGGUCAGCCACAUUGGGACUGAGACACUGCCCAGACUCCUACGGGAGGCUGCAGUCGAGAAUCUUUAGCAAUGGGCGAAAGCCUGACUAUGCGACGCCGCGUGAGGGAUGAAGGCCUUCGGGUCGUAAACCUCUUUCGGUUGGGAAGAAUUUCCUUGGCAUUAAUAUGGUCAAGGAUUGACGUUACUAAAAGAAGAAGCCACGGCCAACUCCGUGCCAGCAGCCGCGGUAAUACGGAGGUGGCGAGCGUUACUCGGAUUCAUUGGGUGUAAAGGGCAGGUAGGUGUCCUAUAAAGUGGGGAGUGAAAUCCUUCGGCUUAAUCGAAGAAUUGCUUUCCAAACUGAUGGGAUUGAGUGUGAGAGAGGAAAGCGGAACUCUCGGUGUAAGGGUGAAAUCUGUAGAUAUCGAGAGGAACACCGGUAGCGAAGGCGGCUUUCUGGAUCACAACUGACACUGAGCUGCGAAAGCUAGGGGAGCGAACAGGAUUAGAUACCCUGGUAGUCCUAGCCGUAAACGAUGAGUACUUGGUGUCUUGGGUUAAACCAAGGUGCCGAAGUUAACACCUUUAAGUACUCCACCUGGGGAACUACGGCCGCAAGGCUAAAACUCAAAGGAAUUGACGGGGGCCCCCCCAAGCCGGUGGAACAUGUGGUUC
rnacentral:rRNA from 1 species